GGAGGAAAGUAGGGGAUCGCAAGACCUUGCGCUUUUUGAGCGGCCGAUGCCUGAUUAGCUAGUUGGUAAGGUAAUGGCUUACCAAGGCAACGAUCAGUAGCUGGUCUGAGAGGACGACCAGCCACACUGGGACUGAGACACGGCCCAGACUCCUACGGGAGGCAGCAGUGGGGAAUUUUGGACAAUGGGCGAAAGCCUGAUCCAGCCAUGCCGCGUGAGUGAAGAAGGCCUUCGGGUUGUAAAGCUCUUUCGGUCGGGAAGAAAUAGUUGUGGCUAAUAUCCACAAUGAAUGACGGUACCGACAUAAGAAGCACCGGCUAACUACGUGCCAGCAGCCGCGGUAAUAUGCAGGGUGCAAGCGUUAAUCGGAAUUAUUGGGCGUAAAGGGUGCGCAGGCGGUUGUAUAAGUCAGAUGUGAAAUCCCUGGGCUUAACCUAGGAAUUGCGUUUGAAACUACAAAGCUAG
rnacentral:rRNA from 1 species